rnacentral:lncRNA from 1 species
UAACAAUAGAACAAAGGUGUCAAGAUCCAAGCUAUACAUACAUAGCGUCCAAAAAUACACGACCCGCUGGCCCAGCCACCACCCAUCCAACGACAAGCGAACGGCCCAACACAACGACGACGACAACGGUAACGGACCCCCACAGGCACCACGGCCCGGGCCAGCGCACACUAGAGAAGAAAGAACACUAGGCACCAUAUAUGGUUUUUGCUCGAAUCAGCAGAGUAAUAUAGGGACAGUUGAAUGUGUCUCACGACCUCAGAGUCUGUCCUCACUUGGACUUGCCGCAGUUGAACCCGUGGCACACCGACAGGAUUAUGAUGAGGAUGAGCGCGACG